CAGCCGUGCAUCAUCCUUUUGUAUUUACCCCGUCAUAGCAUCUUUGUUUUCCUUUUUUGUUGUUGUUCGGAGGAGAAGGCCUUUGCUGUGUUCUUCUUGCCUUUGCCGCCCGUCUCGCUCUCUCUGUCUACUCUCCUCCACGUUGGUUCCAUUUUCCGUGUUCGCGCGUUUGUAUCUGUGUGCGUGAAAAGACGCCGCUCUCCCUACCCUUACCACGCCUCGAGAACACACCAACGAAAUCGAAAAGGCAGAAGGCGGAAUCGAUAACGCCGACAAGCAAGAGGAACUUCUGAGCGCCUCUGUCUGCAGCAGCAGCAGCAGCAGCAAGAGAAUACGAAACCAAAAGCCGUGCACACCUACACACGCACACCAAGUAACGGAAAAAAAAUGUUUCUUUGCUACUUGCUGAUGGUCGAUCUCUUCUUGCGCGCCUACACCAUCUUCAAGUGGCUGUGGGCGUGCGUGGCGCAGACGUUUGACCGCUACACCGCGCCUACGAUUCAGGUGCCGCUGCCGGAGGUGAACUUCACGACGGCGCCGGCCGCGGAACCUCUCCACCCCCGCUCCGCUGGCGAGGGCCAGAUUCAGUGCUAUGAUAAGGGCACGAACGCCCCCAUCGGCACCGUGAAGGCGUUCACGCCGGCGGAGGUGCGCGAAGUGGUGGUGAAGGCCCGAAAAGCGCAGCAGGUCUGGGCUCUCACUCCCUUUUCCACUCGACGCAAACUGCUCUUCGCGCUCAUGGACUACAUCCUCGCCCAUCAGGAGUUCAUCUGCCAGACGGCCUGCGUGGAGUGCGGCAAGACGAUGAUGGAUGGCACGCUUGGUGAGAUGCUGACCACGUUCGAGAAGCUGCGCUGGACUGCAGCACACGGUGAGGAGGUGCUGCAAGAGGAGGUGCGUGAUGUCGGUCUCAUGACCAUCCACAAGCGCGCCAGCGUGCGCUAUGUGCCCUUCGGCGUCAUUGGCGCCAUCGUCUCGUGGAACUACCCGUUCCACAAUAUCUACGGUCCCAUGAUCUCCGCCCUCUUCGCGGGUAACGCCUUCGUCGGAAAGGUGUCGGAGUAUUCGUCCUACUACGCCUCCUACUACGAGUCUAUCGUGAAGGACGGCCUGCGCCAGCUUGGCUACUCGCCGGAUCUCGUGUCCUUCCUCACGGGCUUCGCGGAGACGGGCGAGGCUGUCGUGUCGUCGGUAGACAAGCUCACCUUCAUCGGGUCCCCUAGCGUUGGCAAGAUCAUCAUGCGCAACGCCGCGGCGACGCUGACACCGGUUGUGCUGGAGCUCGGCGGCAAGGACCCGGCCAUCAUUUGCGAGGAUGCUGACCUGGAGCAGGUGAUCCCGGUCGUGAUGCGCGGCAACUUCCAGAACUGCGGGCAGAACUGCGUCGGCCUCGAGCGCAUUCUUGUGCAGGCGAAGAUCCACGACCAGUUGGUGCUCGAGUUGACUCGCCUGACGCGCGCCCUCACCCAGGGCCCCGCCUCGCAGGGCCAGUACGACCUCGGCGCCAUGACGAUGGGCAAGGCGGCCAUCCCAAAGAUCCAGCAGCUGGUCGACGAUACGGUGAAGGCAGGCGCCACCCUCAUCUGCGGCGGCAAGACGACGAGCGACCAGUUCUACCCCGCCACGAUUCUGACGGGCGUGACGCCAGACAUGCCGAUCGCUCAGGAGGAGGUGUUCGGCCCCGUGAUGGUCAUUAUGAAGUUCAAGACAGACCAGGACGCCGUGAAGAUGGUUAACGCGUGCGCCUACGGCCUCGGCUCCAGCGUGUUCAGCGCCGACAUCCCGCGCGCGCAGGCCAUCGCCGAUCGCAUCCGCACGGGUAUGGUGAACAUCAACGAUUUUGGCAUCAACUAUCUAUGCCAGUCGCUGCCGUUUGGUGGCGUGAAGAUAAGCGGCUUCGACCGCUUUGCUGGUCGCGAGGGUCUGCGGGGCAACUGCAUCGUGCGUGCCUCGACGACCGACCGCAUCCCUGGGGUGAAGACGACUAUCCCGUCGAUUCUGCAGUACCCCAUCAGCCCGGUCGCCUUCACCUUCAUGGAGAACCUCGCUCAAGUGAUCUACGGCCGCCUGCCGCGCAUGAUCACCUCGGUCAGCAAGCUGCUCGUCAUCAAGCCGGGCAACAGCACCGACAAGAAGAAGGCGUGAUAGGCCGCACAAGCGGAAGACGGCGGAGUACGAGAGAAACGCGGCCACCGCAUCCAACGACGGCACCAAACAAGCUCCCUUGCUCUUCGACUACCAAUAUGAAAACCAAAAAAAAAAGGCGUGACCGCCUCCGAAGCACCGGAUGCACAGCACGAGAGCAACCCAGUGCUAGACAGUUGGCAGACAAGUGGCAUUUUCCGAUGGCGUACGCGCGCGCGUUCGAGAAAGGUUGAUCACAGGAGAGAGGAGUGGGGCGCCCGUUCUGAGGAGUGGGCCCUAGGCGGAUGCGUCUCCCUCUUUUCGAGCGUCCUUCCCUCUUCGGGUGUUCGUUCAUCUGACGAGGGCCGUUGUGGGGUUACGUCUGCGUGUAUGGGACGCCGGUGCGUGCGCGUUUCCUUUGUGCGAACGGAUGCGUCAAGAAAGCACAGAGAUGAGUGGGGAUGGGUGGGAGGGGGAGGUAGAGAGACGUGACACCGCGCACGCAGGCGUACCGCGAGUACGAAUGUGAAAGAUCGUGAGGCAACGCAAAGGAAAAGGGAAAAGAAAAGGUUCUUCGUCUUCAAAAAGAAACAAGGGUGGUGGAGCGCGUGUGUAAGGUUCGCCAGGCGUCACUGCGCUGCCUUGGUUUGGUCGUCUUUCUGCUCUACGUCGGCCCUGGUAUAUGCGUGGGUGGGUGUGUCGGUGUGGACAGAUGCCAUGCCCGCCGAUGAAGACACACGCACACCCUUCCGCUCGCACGGAGGUGCGGAGGUAAGACGGAUAAAAGGGACGGCGGCGCAGCGGAAUGGGAAGGUGAAGUCCAAAGUGGCGUAGGAAGGGCAGCGUCUGCUGCAGGGACUUCCACGGCUGGUGCGGCGACGAGGAGUCAUGGAUGGGGAAAAGUAAUGCGCAGACCGCUGACGGCACAGGUCAGUACUGUGAUGUCGCUUGCCCUUCGCCAAACGGCGAUGGGGUAAAAAUUUUUUCUUUUUUAUCCCCCGUUUCCCUACCACCAUCACCAUCUCUCUCACAUUCCGCGUCGCGCUCUGCCAUCCUGCGCGUCGUGCAUGUUGUUUUCCGUCGACGCCUCUUUUCUUUACACCUUUUUCUUUGCCCUCUCCCCUCCCCGUUUUUAUAUAAUGUAAAAGAUGAAGCGCCAUGCGCGCGCGUGGACCUCCUCCCCCCCUCCCUCCCUCCCUCAACUUGGCACCCGUCAAGACAAGCCGAAGC
rnacentral:misc_RNA from 1 species